rnacentral:tRNA from 1 species
GGAUUGUGGCUCAGUGGAAAAGCACUUGCUUAGCAUGAGUGAGGCCCUGGGAUCAAUCCCCAGCACCA